rnacentral:misc_RNA from 1 species
UUAAUGAUAGCUUAAUCAAGGGGGAAAAAUCUAAAAGAUGGAUACAAGAUCAUAAGGACGUUGAGUAACAUAGUUCCCCGGAGGAUCAUAGUUACAAGAGAUGAUUGUGCCUCCACUGUUGCAACUCACUUUAGCACAGCCUAAGCGAACCGAGUUUUGCCAAACUACCUGAGUAUAGUGCCGGCAUUCUCCACCAACACAAGAAUUAGAGUUAUAGUCAUAGUGUGGCCUCUCAUCUACCCACAUUUUCACCGCAGCCGAGCCGGUGAGGUCGCCACUGCUCCAUGCGAGAUUCUCACCGUAAGGUCCAACGGAGUGCACAAGCCGGCAAUCUCCCUUGCGUUUAUUGGCAUAGUUUUGUGCAUAAGCAGCAACUUUGUUGUCCCAUCUAAUAGGUCCAACACCCACCCUUGCACGAGCAGCAUUAUGAGCAUUGAGGUAGUCUUGUGGGGAAUUUUGAGCAUGGGAAAUAUGCACCAUCGCUAAGCCUAUGAGGCAAAUGGUUAUUGCUUGGGAAAGUUUUCUAAUCAACAUUUUUGUUGGUCUAUAGGGGCAAAGGAAAAAUAA